rnacentral:rRNA from 1 species
GAUGAACGCUGACAGAAUGCUUAACACAUGCAAGUCUUUGGUGAAGCUGUGCUUGCACAGCCUAGCCAAGGCGGACGGGUGAGUAACGCGUAAGGAACUUGCCCCGCAGUCAGGGAUAACAGACGGAAACGACUGAUAAGACCUGGUAAAGUCAGGCGGACUCAUGUCCAGCCUGAUGAAAAGAGAUGCUGCAGGAGAGCCUUGCGUCCUAUUAGCUUGUUGGUGGGGUAACGGCCCACCAAGGCAAUGAUAGGUAGCCGGCCUGAGAGGGUGGACGGCCACAAGGGGACUGAGAUACGGCCCUUACUCCUACGGGAGGCAGCAGUGGGGAAUAUUGGACAAUGGGGGCAACCCUGAUCCAGCAAUUCUGUGUGCACGAUGAAGGUUUUCGGAUUGUAAAGUGCUUUCAGCAGGGAAGAAAAAAAUGACGGUACCUGCAGAAGAAGCGACGGCUAAAUACGUG